AUGGCUCCCAACAGAUGGAUCAGACCUGAGGUAUACCCACUUUUCGUGCCCGUCGGUAUGGCUGUUGGCCUCUGCGCUAUGCAACUUGUUAGAAACCUAACCACCAAUCCUGAAGUCAGGGUAACCAAACAGAACAGAGCUGCAGGAAUUCUUGACAAUGAAUCUGAGGGUGAGAAAUAUUCACAACACUUUGUUAGGAAGUUUGUCCGCGGCAAGAGCUCUGAGAUUAUGCCAUCCAUCAACGGCUUCUUCUCAAAUCCAAACUAA